GGGGCUGACUGGUUUUGACAGCGGGUAGAAGAGGUAUGUAAGCAUGUCGGGCCUUGAUCGCACAGCCCGUUAAUCUCGGCGGUCGAACCUUAAUUGGCGAAAAUAACUACGCUCUUGCUGCGUAAUCGAACUAAGUAGAUUACACUUUAUUCCGGCACAAGGUGCUGGAACGAGACAUCACCCGGGUGCUAAUGCCCUGAAGCGGCCCGAUCUGGUGGUGCAAAUAAAUCGGGGAUAGUCGGAGUUUUUCCUUGGAGUUCCGGCGAAACUUAAAAGGAUAAGGUAAAAGUCGGUGGCCCUGAUCCAGCUUUUGCACGAAAACCAAGUCUGGGGAUAAACAUGUAGAAAGCAUAUUGCUUCCUCGUUUGGACGCGGGUUCGACUCCCGCCAGCUCCACAA
rnacentral:tmRNA from 1 species